rnacentral:rRNA from 1 species
GACGAACGCUGGCGGCGUGCUUAACACAUGCAAGUCGAACGAUGAAGCCGGAGCUUGCUCCGGUGGAUUAGUGGCGAACGGGUGAGUAACACGUGAGCAAUCUGCCCUUGACUCUGGGAUAACUGCGGGAAACUGUAGCUAAUACCGGAUACGACACCUUGGGGCAUUCCCAGGGUGUGGAAAGAAUUUCGGUCAAGGAUGAGCUCGCGGCCUAUCAGCUAGUUGGUGAGGUAAUGGCUCACCAAGGCGACGACGGGUAGCCGGCCUGAGAGGGUGACCGGCCACACUGGAACUGAGACACGGUCCAGACUCCUACGGGAGGCAGCAGUGGGGAAUAUUGCACAAUGGGCGAAAGCCUGAUGCAGCAACGCCGCGUGAGGGAUGAAGGCCUUCGGGUUGUAAACCUCUUUUAGCAGGAAAGAAGCGAAAGUGACGGUACCUGCAGAAAAAGCACCGGCUAACUACGUGCCAGCCGCCGCCGUAA